UAAUAUAACAUAUACAGGGUCCAGACAAAUAUGACUAGCCCUUGAUUAUUUUUAGAAAAAAGGAAAUUGGCCACACAUGUUAUAUAAAGAGAGGUUUCAGCAUUGUCGCACAAGUGCUACAUUAAAAAGACUGUUUCAGUUCGGUCACAUAUUUUAAGUCGUUUUAUAAGAUAAAGGAUUAUUGACUGUAAACGAAUACAUAAAGUAAUUGAAUAAUCUGUUCUUUAAUAUGAAUACUACACGCCGUUAUAGCGCUAGUUCUUCGUCAUCAGAUGACGUCGAUAGCAGCAAUGCCUCAUUUGAUCGAUGCGAAGAUCACUCUAAAAAAUGCAACUAUAAAAUAUUGAAAGGUAGGGUUGCCGGAACCGAGGUUUGGAUACAUUUUCGCCUUUGCAAAUGCGGCAUAAAGACAAAUAGAAGAAAUGAAUUAGCAGCAAAGCGUCUGGAUCAACAGGAUGGAGUUGAACAGCACUUUUCUGUGUCUUGUAGAUGGCGUCGUCGCAAGUCGAGAAUUUACAGCGGCACCGUGUACAAAUUGCAACGUUAUUGCGUAUGCAAUGUCUCUGGGCAUCCUACUACUAACGGACACAUGAACAAUGUCUCCAAUAAUGAAAAUUCAGGCUGCGCCCUCUCGUAGACGGUUGGAGAUAAAACCCUCGGGACCAGUGUAUAUUUUACUACUUGUUCAACGUCGGUGUACUUAUAUUCUGCGAUUAAUGAUAACUGUUAGAUGAGAUUAACUUUCCAAACAUUAUGCAAUGACGAUAUUGAAAGAAGAUGAACAUAAAUGCAAUUUAUGUGCAAAUGCGCUUGACGGAAUAUGCCGUAUUGUGACAAAAUGACUUUCUGUAAUAAUGCAUUAACUUAUCAUUUGUUUUAUGUGCCAUACAAAACAUGCGCGUUAUUUCUCGUUUUGCUCUGUUCAAUUGAUUCCGAUUAUUUGUGGGGUUUUUUAAAUAUAUGUAUAACGUUUGUCCGUGAUUUAUUCACGAUGUUAAAUGCGUGUUCAUUAAUUAAUAGAAAAUGAAAAUAGUCAUAAAUGUUACUUUGUCUAAUAUUUAAACGUGGCAUGCAGCUUCAUUUCCAAUUUAAUAACAUGUGUUGUUUGCAACUACAUUUUGUAAUUAUUCAGAUGUGUAUAAAAGAUUUAGUACAUACAAUAACGUAUGUUAAAUAUGUGUUAUUAAAAAAAAGUUAUUUUUCAUAAAUAGAUUUUGAUAAGAAACAAUAAAGAUUUUGAUGAGAAACCAGUAUGCUUGUACUAUAAAAUAUAUUUUUAAUCAUGUUACAAUGAUAUGAACUAAAAUACACAGUGCAUGUUGGAUUUAUAAUAAAUAAAUAAUGUGUAUGGAUAAA